AGAGCCGCAGCCUCAUUAACGAGUUCUCUUCCUUGUUGCGGUGAUGGGGGUCGUACAUGUUGUGGUGGAGAGUCAAGACCCAACGUGGUGAAACGUCGUCUAUGGGUUCAGCGCAUGGACUGGAGAAUUGUCCUUCAGGUAAUGAGAACUCUUCAUGAACGCUUGGCUUGCCAAAGUUACUCAUUUAUGUUUAAAAGUACUUUAAUGAAUGUUAAGUGAUUUACAGUUGCAAAAAUACUGCAAACCAAUAGUUAUUCUCUUAAAACUUCAUGUAUAUGUACUGCGUCAAAUUCUUGGGUUGAAAGUCUGAAUGUAUGAG